AUUUCUCUUUUGACCAGUCAGGCCUGAUGAAGAUUUUCUACCGAAACGUUUCCAACUGACUUGUCGCAUCAUCAUCAUCAUCAUGAGGUGAAUGGCGCUGCAGCUCCUGCCAGCAGUACCGGACAACACCACUGGGGAGCGCUAAAGCACCGGUCCAGACGCUCCCAGCUGCUCCGCAAUGAAUGGCUGCUCUCUCGCUUCCCUCCGACGCCUCCAGAUCAUCCUCGCACAUGCAGCUGUAGAGCCAACUGCGUCAAGAGCAUGGAUGGAGUAUUUGAAAGACAAUUUGAAAAAGAAAAAAGACUGACAGUACAGAGUAUGCAUGAGGGUGGUCCAGGUGCUCUGCAGAUCGGGACGAUGACAAUUUGAGGAGCAGGAACUUUGAUGCCUGCUGUCUCCUCACUUAAUGUUGGAGACACUUCUGUGGACCAGGGAAACACAAACCAUGUGGGUUUCAAGGUAGAUUAUGUUAUGUGGAGUUCCAAUUGAAGCGGGGGCAUGCAAAGUGCUUUUGCUUGAAAGAAGAUGUCUGGGCUUUGUGGUGAAAAAUGGAUAAUAAAUGACAACUGGGAUUAACUGAAAGCACAACCAAAAGCAAGGCUUCAAACAGACCACCUGCUGGUUUCCUAUGCCCUCUGCCUAUUCCUGCCCGUCAAUGGUCUCACAUCGCUCGGGAUUUCGUUACGAGAUUCCCGGCAUCCAAAGGUAACACCACUGUUCUAACUAUUGUCGACCGCUUUUCCAAGGCAGCACAGUUCAUCCCGCUCGCCAAGCUUCCAUCCUCCUCCGAGACGGCGGAUCUCCUCACACUGUACGUCAUCAAAUAGCACGGUUUUCCCAGGGAAAUCGUAUCUGACUGUGGCCCCCAGUUCAACUCCCGUGUAUGGCGGGCCUUCUGCAAAGGGCUCGGGGCCUCGGUCAGUCUCACCUCAGGAUACCAUCCGCAAAGCAACGAGCAAGCAGAAAGAACCAACCAGAGCUUGGAGACCAUGCUGCGUUGCGUGGGUAACAGCCAGCCCACUUCUUGGAGCAAGUUUCUCCCCUGGCAGGAGAGAGAGGCCACAGUUCCCUCUACGAAGGCCCACAUCAAGCGGUGUCAGAGGGUGUGGAGAGCCGCCCAUGCGGCACUUGAAAAGGCUAAUGAGAGGAUGCCCUGCAGUGCCAACUGGCGUCACAUCCCAGCUCCAUCCUACCAGCCCGGACAACUGGUUAUGUUGCGUGCCAAGGACCUCAGCUUCCAGGCACCUUAAAAAAAAUUGACUCCGCGUUUUGUUGGACCAUACCCACUUGUAACCAUUGUCAACUCUGCUUCUGUAAAGUUUGCUCUCCCACCCUAACCCUAACCCUAACCCUGUGGUAUAUGUUUCUCAAAUAAAGCCGGUGGCGGACAGCUCUCUGUCUCCCUCUAUCACUGCCUCCCCGCCUCCUUCCUAGGAUCGUGGAGAAUGGUGACCCGGUGUGGACGGUCAAAGCGAUCCUCAGGGU